UACGGAGGGUGCGAGCGUUGUCCGGAAUCACUGGGCGUAAAGGGCGCGUAGGCGGCCUGAUAAGUAGGGGGUGAAAUCCUGCGGCUUAACCGCAGGGCUGCCUUCUAAACUGUCAGGCUAGAGCACGGUAGAGGCAGAUGGAAUUCCCGGUGUAGCGGUGGAAUGCGUAGAGAUCGGGAAGAACAUCAGUGGCGAAGGCGGUCUGCUGGGCCGUUGCUGACGCUGAGGCGCGACAGCGUGGGGAGCAAACGAGG
rnacentral:rRNA from 1 species